rnacentral:rRNA from 1 species
AUUGAACGCUGGCGGCAUGCCUUACACAUGCAAGUCGAACGGCAGCACGGGGGCAACCCUGGUGGCGAGUGGCGAACGGGUGAGUAAUGCAUCGGAACGUGCCCCGUAGCGGGGGAUAACCAGUCGAAAGACUGGCUAAUACCGCAUACGCUCCACGGAGGAAAGCAGGGGAUCGCAAGACCUUGCACUAUGGGAGCGGCCGAUGCCCGAUUAGCUAGUUGGGAGGUAAGCUCACC